CGUGGGCCUGGACAUGAAGCACUCAACGGUGAAGGGACACGGCGCCCGGGAGCAGACGAUCUGCGGCUCCAUGACGAACCCGUACAGACCUUUUCAGCGGCGGUUUGCAGGACCAUGAUCCGGAAAAUAAACAGAACGAUGAGCCAGACUUUCCCGAUCACGGUGGAGUGGCUCUGCACCUUCUCCAGCAGCCGGCCCAGGUGUUCAACCUGUGGCUCCGGAGCCACAAGUGGCUCUUUGGAUGUUCUGCAGUGGCUCUUAAUAACUGUGAUUUAGUUAAGUAAUAUAAAUAUAUUUUAUAUAAACUUACUAACAAAUGCUGGUUUAAGGUAAUUUUAUGUUAUAAAUUGAUUGUCCAUAACAAAACCAUCUAAAAAUGCAGGUUUUUAGAUGCAUUUUCUUCACCGCAGAAAAGAUUUGAUCUAUUUUUUCUGUCUUUAAGUUAGAAAUUAUGUUUUUUUUUAUGUCUUUUAAUAUUCCCUAAAUUUUAACAUCCCACAGAAAAAAUGUAUGGAGCUAAAUUAGGGUCGUGAAGUUUGUUCAAAAGCCAAGAAAAUGUAAAGUUGAAAAUAAAGAUUCGAAACUAAAAUCUUUGUAGUUUAGAAAAAAUAUUUUAAACUACUUUUCUGAUCCAAUGUUGUUUUUUUCAUUUUCAAAACUUUUCCAGUUUCAGAUUUUUUACAAACAAAUUUUAUGGCCCCAAUUUCGCUUCACAGAAACAUGCCCCUCUUCUUUUCUGCAACGUUGUGUGUUUUACUUUAUUUCAAAAUUAAAAAAAAAAAAAAAUUUCCAGAAAUAUCAAAAAAUGUCAAGCUUUGUGUGAUUUUAAAAGGUUUUGUAACAGUUUUACUCAAAGGCAAAUGUGGAGCGUAAAAGUUGCAGACCUCUGGAAUAAAUUUUAUACAACUAUUAUUUUACAGUAUUACAAAAUAAACCCCACAAAUUGUGGAAAAGAUUUAAUUUCAGGACAUGCUUGUUAAGUUAUAUUUGUUUUUUAGCCUUGCUGUGGUUUCUGUAAGGAGGUAAAAAGUGAAUCUCUCAGAAGGUCAAGCUUCUAUCAUUUCUCGCUGCAGAUAAAUCCACAGCUGCAGGCUUCAGAUAUACACACACUAAUCUGCUGAACUCUCAAACCUGAAGCAAACCUUAAAUUGCAGAAACUUAAAAUACCAUGCAUAUAGUUUCAUAUAAUACUUUUCCUUUUAUAAAGUCGGUUUUCAUUUAAUUAGAUUUUAUUGUUUUAUUUUGGAUGUGUAGAAUGAAGUGUGCACAUAAAAAUGAAUUUAAAGCCUUAACAUAUCAUAGAAAAUCCAGAUAGAGAUUAUUAAGAACUUAAUAAAUUUUUUUGUAAAGAGGGAAAAGC